GAGUUUGAUUCUGGCUCAGGAUGAACGCUGGCGGCGUGCCUAACACAUGCAAGUCGAGCGGCAGCGAGGGGUGCUUGCACCCUGUCGGCGAGCGGCGGACGGCUGAGUAACGCGUGGGAACGUGCCCCAAAGUGAGGGAUAACUGCCCGAAAGGGUAGCUAAUACCGCAUAUUAUCUUCGGAUCAAAGGAUUUAUCCGCUUUGGGAGCGGCCCGCGUCGGAUUAGGUAGUUGGUAGGGUAAUGGCCUACCAAGCCGACGAUCCGUAGCUGGUCUGAGAGGAUGACCAGCCAGACUGGAACUGAGACACGGUCCAGACUCCUACGGGAGGCAGCAGUGAGGAAUCUUCCACAAUGGGGGCAACCCUGAUGGAGUAACGCCGCGUGCAGGAUGAAGGCCUUCGGGUUGUAAACUGCUUUUAUAAGUGAGGAAUAUGACGGU
rnacentral:rRNA from 1 species